rnacentral:rRNA from 1 species
GGCCCUAUGGGGCGCAGCAGGCGAGAAAACUUUGCAAUGUGCGAAAGCACGACAAGGUUAAUCCGAGUGGUUUCUGCUAAAGGAACCUUUUGUUAGUCGUAGAAUCACUGAUGAAUAAGGGGUGGGCAAGUUCUGGUGUCAGCCGCCGCGGUAAAACCAGCACCUCAAGUGGUCAGGAUGAUUAUUGGGCCUAAAGCAUCCGUAGCCGGCUCUGUAAGUUUUCGGUUAAAUCUGUACGCUCAACGUACAGGCUGCCGGGAAUACUGCAGCGCUAGGGAGUGGGAGAGGUAGACGGUACUCGGUAGGAAGGGGUAAAAUCCUUUGAUCUAUUGAUGACCACCUGUGGCGAAGGCGGUCUACCAGAACACGUCCGACGGUGAGGGAUGAAAGCUGGGGGAGCAAACCGGAUUAGAUACCCGGGUAGUCCCAGCUGUAAACUAUGCAAACUCAAUGAUGCAUUGGCUUGUGGCCAGUGCAGUGUUGCAGGGAAGCCGUUAAGUUUGCCGCCUGGGAAGUACGUACGCAAGUAUGAAACUUAAAGGAAUUGGCGGGGGAGCAC